rnacentral:rRNA from 1 species
AUUGAACGCUGGCGGCAGGCCUAACACAUGCGAGUCGAGCAGAUGAAGGGAGCUUGCUCCUGGAUUCAGCGGCGGACGGGUGAGUAAUGCCUAGGAAUCUGCCUGGUAGUGGGGGAUAACGUCCGGAAACGGGCGCUAAUACCGCAUACGUCCUGAGGGAGAAAGUGGGGGAUCUUCGGACCUCACGCUAUCAGAUGAGCCUAGGUCGGAUUAGCUAGUUGGUGGGGUAAAGGCCUACCAAGGCGACGAUCCGUAACUGGUCUGAGAGGAUGAUCAGUCACACUGGAACUGAGACACGGUCCAGACUCCUACGGGAGGCAGCAGUGGGGAAUAUUGGACAAUGGGCGAAAGCCUGAUCCAGCCAUGCCGCGUGUGUGAAGAAGGUCUUCGGAUUGUAAAGCACUUUAAGUUGGGAGGAAGGGCAGUAAGUUAAUACCUUGCUGUUUUGACGUUACCAACAGAAUAAGCACCGGCUAACUUCGUG